GAGUUUGAUCAUGGCUCAGAUUGAACGCUGGCGGUAUGCUUAACACAUGCAAGUCGGACGGCAGCGGGGGCUUCGGCCUGCCGGCGAGUGGCGGACGGGUGAGUAACGCGUAGGAAUCUGCCCUGUAGUGGGGGACAACGUGGGGAAACCCACGCUAAUACCGCAUACGCUCCUUCUUGAAAGGGGGGGAGGAAAGCGGGGGACCUUCGGGCCUCGCGCUAUAGGAUGAGCCUGCGUUGGAUUAGCUAGUUGGCGGGGUAAGGGCCCACCAAGGCGACGAUCCAUAGCUGGUCUGAGAGGACGAUCAGCCACACUGGGACUGAGACACGGCCCAGACUCCUACGGGAGGCAGCAGUGGGGAAUAUUGGACAAUGGGCGCAAGCCUGAUCCAGCAAUACCGCGUGUGUGAAGAAGGCCUGAGGGUUGUAAAGCACUUUCAAUUGGGAGGAAAAAGGCAGGCUUAAUACGCCUGCCCUUGACAUUACCUUUAGAAGAAGCACCGGCUAACUCCGUGCCAGCAGCCGCGGUAAUACGGAGGGUGCGAGCGUUAAUCGGAAUUACUGGGCGUAAAGCGUGCGUAGGCGGCCUGUUAAGUCAGAUGUGAAAGCCCUGGGCUCAACCUGGGAACGGCAUUUGAAACUGGCGGGCUAGAGUUAGGUAGAGGGGAGUGGAAUUCCGGGUGUAGCGGUGAAAUGCGUAGAUAUCCGGAGGAACACCAGUGGCGAAGGCGGCUCCCUGGACCCAAACUGACGCUGAGGCACGAAAGCGUGGGUAGCAAACAGGAUUAGAUACCCUGGUAGUCCACGCCGUAAACGAUGUCGACUAGCCGUUGGGCCCUUAUGGGGUUUAGUGGCGCAGCUAACGCAUUAAGUCGACCGCCUGGGGAGUACGCCGCAAGGUUAAAACUCAAAUGAAUUGACGGGGGCCCGCACAAGCGGUGAGCAUGUGUUUAAUUCGAUGCAACGCGAGAACUUACCUACCCUUGACAUCCUAGAAUCUGUUUGAGACAGCGGAGUGCCUUCGGAGCUAAAAGACAGGUGCUUGCAUGGCUGUCG
rnacentral:rRNA from 1 species